rnacentral:rRNA from 1 species
AAAUUGAAGAGUUUGAUCAUGGCUCAGAUUGAACGCUGGCGGCAGGCCUAACACAUGCAAGUCGAGCGGUAACAGGAAGAGCUUGCUUCUCGGGUGACGAGCGGCGGACGGGUGAGUAAUGUCUGGGAAACUGCCUGAUGGAGGGGGAUAACUACUGGAAACGGUAGCUAAUACCGCAUAAUGUCGUAAGACCAAAGUGGGGGACCUUCGGGCCUCAUGCCAUCAGAUGUGCCCAGAUGGGAUUAGCUAGUAGGUGGGGUAACGGCUCACCUAGGCGACGAUCCCUAGCUGGUCUGAGAGGAUGACCAGCCACACUGGAACUGAGACACGGUCCAGACUCCUACGGGAGGCAGCAGUGGGGAAUAUUGCACAAUGGGCGCAAGCCUGAUGCAGCCAUGCCGCGUGUGUGAAGAAGGCCUUCGGGUUGUAAAGCACUUUCAGCGGGGAGGAAGGCGGUGAGGUUAAUAACCUCAUCGAUUGACGUUACCCGCAGAAGAAGCACCGGCUAACUCCGUGCCAGCAGCCGCGGUAAUACGGAGGGUGCAAGCGUUAAUCGGAAUUACUGGGCGUAAAGCGCACGCAGGCGGUCUGUCAAGUCGGAUGUGAAAUCCCCGGGCUCAACCUCGGGAACUGCAUUCGAAACUGGCAGGCUAGAGUCUUGUAGAGGGGGGUAGAAUUCCAGGUGUAGCGGUGAAAUGCGUAGAGAUCUGGAGGAAUACCGGUGGCGAAGGCGGCCCCCUGGACAAAGACUGACGCUCAGGUGCGAAAGCGUGGGGAGCAAACAGGAUUAGAUACCCUGGUAGUCCACGCCGUAAACGAUGUCGAUUUGGAGGUUGUGCCCUUGAGGCGUGGCUUCCGGAGCUAACGCGUUAAAUCGACCGCCUGGGGGAGUACGGCCGCAAGGUUAAAACUCAAAUGAAUUGACGGGGGCCCGCACAAGCGGUGGAGCAUGUGGUUUAAUUCGAUGCAACGCGAAGAACCUUACCUGGUCUUGACAUCCACAGAACUUUCCAGAGAUGAGAUUGUGCCUUCGGGAACUGUGAGACAGGUGCUGCAUGGCUGUCGUCAGCUCGUGUUGUGAAAUGUUGGGUUAAGUCCCGCAACGAGCGCAACCCUUAUCCUUUGUUGCCAGCGGUCCGGCCGGGAACUCAAAGGAGACUGCCAGUGAUAAACUGGAGGAAGGUGGGGAUGACGUCAAGUCAUCAUGGCCCUUACGACCAGGGCUACACACGUGCUACAAUGGCAUAUACAAAGAGAAGCGACCUCGCGAGAGCAAGCGGACCUCAUAAAGUAUGUCGUAGUCCGGAUUGGAGUCUGCAACUCGACUCCAUGAAGUCGGAAUCGCUAGUAAUCGUAGAUCAGAAUGCUACGGUGAAUACGUUCCCGGGCCUUGUACACACCGCCCGUCACACCAUGGGAGUGGGUUGCAAAAGAAGUAGGUAGCUUAACCUUCGGGAGGGCGCUUACCACUUUGUGAUUCAUGACUGGGGUGAAGUCGUAACAAGGUAACCGUAGGGGAACCUGCGGUUGGAUCACCUCCUUACCUUAAAGAA